CACCCAGGAGCCCCCAGGCGAGACCUGAGGGUCAUUCUCAGCUUGGAAGUAAGGCUUUUCUUGUCUCUUGCCCCUGAGCCUCGGGGUCCGGCCCCUCCCUGAUCGCAGAGUGACGGGUCACCGGGUCCCGAGCCGGCCUGGCUCUACCAAACGCCUGGCUCGCGGGCGGGAGUCCGGAGCCUCCACCAGGGCCGGCGUGGCGCUUCUCCAAAGACAGCUCUCCUUCACUUCACAGUCAGUCCCUGGGUAUUUAAAGUCACCGUGGUGACCCAUUCCCUGGUCUGGACUCCUUUUAGUCCCUCAUGCAUUUACUAUGCUCGCGACUCGCAUUCGUUCCACACGCAUGGACUGCGUUCGCGCUAGGCUCCGGGAGCUGCCCCAGGCCACUGCGCGCCCAAAUCUCCCGAAGCCCCUUGGCUGCCGCACCGCCGGUUUAGUGAGCCCGCGCUGGCAGCAGGACGCCGGAAGAUUGCUGCAGGUAAGGAACACUUUCGGGCGCCUUGCAGCUGCUCCAGGUCCUGAGAAAGCAAAUGGGAGUUGAAAGGUUGCCCUCCAAGCCAGUGCUGCAGGGUGCGUUUGCAUCCGUCAGGCACAAGGCCUGGAAUCUUCCUAAAACGGACUGCCUUAGCACGAACAACUCUGCUGUGAAAACACACUGUCAAUUUUAGCUGCAGGGCGCAAGUCACUCCAUCAGAAUAAAGCGUUUGUGGAGCUACAUGGCUGAUUCCUAAAACCCUGGGCAUCCUCUCUCAGGACGAUGGAUUGAGGCUGCUCUCUCCAUGUACAUUUACGCAGUAGAAAUGGAUGGCUCGCUGCUGUGCUGAUCUGUCUGCAGGGGGAUAAAAACUUUAAGAAGGAAACUUGGAAGCCAAUCCGGAGCUGUGGAAGGAGACAGCCUCACAUGACUCCUAUCUUGCGACACAGAGCAGCUGUUGCCAAAUAGGAAUGGAAUUGUGGCGGAUUUAAGCUCAAAUCUCGACCUUGUCACCACAUAGGGGGAGAGUUCCACCUGCAGAGGUGACUCCUCCAGUCACAUGGAUGAAGGAUCUGUGUGUACCUCAACUCUACCAAGUCAGAUGAAUAAGAGGCCCAACCCAGAUGUACUUACCAUGUAGAAGAAGGGCUAGAGGGAAGAAAAUAGCCUGCCUCCGUGCUUGUCAGCCAGACAGAAAGCCACUUCUUAUCAUCUCAUUCAGCAGGUCAUCCCUGUGGAAGCCCUCUUGCCUUCGCUGUCUGUUCCCUGGGAGCCCGCCUAGCGCCUUAACCAGCAGAGCCUCCCUG